AAAAAGGCAAACCGUUGGUUCCCGUACCAACGUUUGACUGUCCGUCUUAUAUGAAAUUUUUUUAUAAUUAGUAUUUUCAUUGUUGUUAGAUGAUAAAACAUGAUUAAUACUUUAUGCGUGACUUAUCUUUUUAAUUUUUUCAUAAUUUUUUUAAAUAAGACGAACGGUCAAACGUUGGACACGGAAACCAGGGUUUGUCUUUUU
rnacentral:pre_miRNA from 1 species